CGGAUUAAUGCCCUCUGGAUUGGGCGGCCAGCUGUUAACUGUCAUUUGUGGGAUCAAGGCCCACUAGUCCGA
rnacentral:tRNA from 1 species